rnacentral:rRNA from 1 species
AACGAACGCUGGCGGCAUGCCUAACACAUGCAAGUCGAACGAGAUCUUCGGGUCUAGUGGCGCACGGGUGCGUAACGCGUGGGAAUCUGCCCUUUGGUUCGGAAUAACAGUUGGAAACGACUGCUAAUACCGGAUGAUGACGAAAGUCCAAAGAUUUAUCGCCAGAGGAUGAGCCCGCGUAGGAUUAGCUAGUUGGUGUGGUGAAGGCGCACCAAGGCGACGAUCCUUAGCUGGUCUGAGAGGAUGAUCAGCCACACUGGGACUGAGACACGGCCCAGACUCCUACGGGAGGCAGCAGUGGGGAAUAUUGGACAAUGGGCGAAAGCCUGAUCUAGCAAUGCCGCGUGAGUGAUGAAGGCCUUAGGGUUGUAAAGCUCUUUUACCCGGGAUGAUAAUGACAGUACCGGGAGAAUAAGCUCCGGCUAACUCCGUGCCAGCCGCCGCCGUAA